rnacentral:rRNA from 1 species
GACGAACGCUGGCGGCGUGCUUAACACAUGCAAGUCGUACGGUAAGGCCCUUUCGGGGGUACACGAGUGGCGAACGGGUGAGUAACACGUGAGUAACCUGCCCACAACUUUGGGAUAACGCUAGGAAACUGGUGCUAAUACUGGAUAUGUGCUCCUGCUGCAUGGUGGGGGUUGGAAAGCUCCGGGGGUUGUGGAUGGACUCGCGGCCUAUCAGCUUGUUGGUGGGGUAGUGGCCUACCAAGGCGGCGACGGGUAGCCGGCCUGAGAGGGUGACCGGCCACAUUGGGACUGGGAUACGGCCCAGACUCCUACGGGAGGCAGCAGUGGGGAAUAUUGCACAAUGGGCGCAAGCCUGAUGCAGCAACGCCGCGGGCGGGAUGACGGCCUUCGGGUUGGAAACCGCUUUCAGCAGGGACGAAGCUUUUUGUGACGGUACCUGCAGAAGAAGCACCGGCUAACUACGUG